ACUCGAGUGGCGAACGGGUGAGUAACACGUGGGUGAUCUGCCCUGCACUUCGGGAUAAGCCUGGGAAACUGGGUCUAAUACCGGAUAGGAGCCAUUUUUAGUGUGAUGGUUGGAAAGUUUUUUCGGUGUAGGAUGAGCUCGCGGCCUAUCAGCUUGUUGGUGGGGUAAUGGCCUACCAAGGCGUCGACGGGUAGCCGGCCUGAGAGGGUGUACGGCCACAUUGGGACUGAGAUACGGCCCAG
rnacentral:rRNA from 1 species